GGCCACAACCAUAUCACCCUGCAGCCCAAGACUGGUUGCCCAUUAAAGCUAAGCAGGGUUGAGCCUGGUUAGUACCUGGAUGGGAGACCUCCUGGGAAAACUAGGUUGCUGUUGGAA
rnacentral:rRNA from 1 species